rnacentral:rRNA from 1 species
GACGAACGCUGGCGGCGUGCCUAAUACAUGCAAGUAGAACGCACAGUUUAUACCGUAGCUUGCUACACCAUAGACUGUGAGUUGCGAACAGGUGAGUAACGCGUAGGUAACCUGCCUGGUAGCGGGGGAUAACUAUUGGAAACGAUAGCUAAUACCGCAUAAUAUUGAUUAUUGCAUGAUAAUUAAUUGAAAGAUGCUAUUGCAUCACUACCAGAUGGACCUGCGUUGUAUUAGCUAGUAGGUGAGGUAACGGCUCACCUAGGCGACGAUACAUAGCCGACCUGAGAGGGUGAUCGGCCACACUGGGACUGAGACACGGCCCAGACUCCUACGGGAGGCAGCAGUAGGGAACCUUCGGCAAUGGACGAAAGUCUGACCGAGCAACGCCGCGGGAGUGAAGAAGGUUGUCGGAUCGUAAAGCUCUGUUGUAAGAGAAGAACGGGUGUGAGAGUGGAAAGUUCACACUGUGACGGUAUCUUACCAGAAAGGGACGGCUAACUACGUG